UACGUAGGUGACCAGCGUUGUCCGGAUUUACUGGGCGUAAAGAGCGCGCAGGCGGUCGUUCAAGUCGAGUGUGAAAGCCCCCCGGCUCAACUGGGGAGGGUCAUUCGAUACUGAUCGACUUGAAGGCAGGAGAGGGAAGUGGAAUUCCCGGUGUAGUGGUGAAAUGCGUAGAUAUCGGGAGGAACACCAGUGGCGAAGGCGACUUCCUGGCCUGUUCUUGACGCUGAGGCGCGAAAGCUAGGGGAGCAAACGGGGAUUAAGAAACCCCAGGUAACGUCC
rnacentral:rRNA from 1 species